AGCGAACGCUGGCGGCAGGCCUAACACAUGCAAGUCGAACGAACCUUUCGGGGUUAGUGGCGGACGGGUGAGGAACACGUGGGAACGUGCCUUUAGGUUCGGAAUAACUCAGGGAAACUUGUGCUAAUACCGAAUGUGCCCUUCGGGGGAAAGAUUUAUCGCCUUUAGAGCGGCCCGCGUCUGCUUAGCUAGUUGGUUGAGGUAAUGGCUCACCAAGGCGACGUUCAGUAGCUGGUCUGAGAGGAUGGUUAGCCACAUUGGGACUGAGACACGGCCCAAACUCCUACGGGAGGCAGCAGUGGGGGAUCUUGCGCAAUGGGCGAAAGCCUGACGCAGCCAUGCCGCGUGAAUGAUGAAGGUCUUAGGAUUGUAAUAUUCUUUCACCGGUGACGAUAAUGACGGUACCCGGAGAAGAAGCCCCGGCUAACUUCGUG
rnacentral:rRNA from 1 species